rnacentral:rRNA from 1 species
GAUGAACGCUAGCGGCAGGCCUAAUACAUGCAAGUCGAACGGUGUCUUCGGACAUAGUGGCGCACGGGUGCGUAACACGUAUGCAACCUACCUUACAUUGGGGGAUAGCCUUUCGAAAGGGAGAUUAAUACCGCAUAAGACAGUAGCUGGGCAUCCAGCAGCUGUUAAAGAUUUAUCGAUGUAAGCUGGGCAUGCGUCCAAUUAGCUAGUUGGUGAGGUAACGGCUCACCAAGGCAAUGAUUGGUAGGGGAACUGAGAGGUCAAUCCCCCACACUGGCACUGAGAUACGGGCCAGACUCCUACGGGAGGCAGCAGUAGGGAAUAUGGGCAAUGGACGCAAGUCUGACCCAGCCAUGCCGCGUGCAGGAUGAAGGCGUUAUGCGUUGUAAACUGCUUUUAUACAGGAAGAAACGACUCUCGCGAGCGGCAUUGACGGUACUGUAUGAAUAAGCACCGGCUAACUCCGUGCCAGCCGCCGCGGUAACAC